GGCAAAUUCAAAAAUCUCUUCAAUCCUUCAUUCCUCCAAUGGCUAAGAAAAAAUGGUGCUCUUAAAGAAAAGAGGAAAUAAUAACAGAGGGGCUUGAAAGCCAUAGAGGUAGGAGCAUAAACUAAUUUCUACAAUCUCUGAGGAUGAAUCCACCAGGAAAAGCUCUUCGAGUAUGUGUUCAAUAGGCAAGCGAGAGUGAGAGGAAUGGCUGACUGAAGGUGGACAACAGGGGAGGGAUGAGCAUAAUUUUGCACAGUAGGCUACAAGGAUUCCAUUGCUAACGGCACUAUUGUAGAGCAAAUUUGACUUUGGGCCAACAAAUUAGUUAAGAUAAAUUAAUACGGAGAAAGAAAUAGUAACCAAUUUCCCUACCCCAUCCAAACAGAGAACUAGCAAAUCACAGGUCAUUGCCAGCUCAACGAAAACAAGGCACCACCAUUAAUUAAAUAGGAGAAAUAAAGAGAAAUUGAAAGAAUU
rnacentral:misc_RNA from 1 species